AUUGAACGCUGGCUGCAUGCUUUACACAUGCAAGUCGAACGGUAACAGGCCGCAAGGUGCUGACGAGUGGCGAACGGGUGAGUAAUGCAUCGGAACGUGCCCAGUCGUGGGGGAUAACGCAGCGAAAGCUGUGCUAAUACCGCAUACGAUCUAGGGAUGAAAGCGGGGGACCGUAAGGCCUCGCGCGAUUGGAGCGGCCGAUGUCAGAUUAGGUAGUUGGUGGGGUAAAGGCCUACCAAGCCGACGAUCUGUAGCUGGUCUGAGAGGACGACCAGCCACACUGGGACUGAGACACGGCCCAGACUCCUACGGGAGGCAGCAGUGGGGAAUUUUCGACAAUGGGCGCAAGCCUGAUCCAGCAAUGCCGCGUGCAGGAAGAAGGCCUUCGGGUUGUAAACUGCUUUUGUACGGAACGAAACGGUCUGGGUUAAUACCCUGGGCUAAUGACGGUACCGUAAGAAUAAGCACCGGCUAACUACGUGCCAGCCGCCGCGGUAA
rnacentral:rRNA from 1 species